rnacentral:lncRNA from 10 species
UAGUGUUGAAGUGUUGGGGUGGCGAAAAUUUUUGGGGGUGGUGCGGAGAGAGAAUGGGCGAUGUUUCUCAGUGCUGCUUCAAGCGGGAUUAGGGGCGGCGUGGGAACCUAGAGUGGGAGAGAUUAAGCUGAAGGGAGGUCUUGUGGUAAGGGGUGACAUUGAGGGGGUUGUUAGAAGAAACAUUUGUCAUACAGAAAGAUUGGUGAUGGCCUGGAUACGGUUUUGUAUGAACUGAAAAACUAAAUGGAAUAAGAGAAGGAGAAAAACAGGUAUAAAUGGUUUAAGAAUUGGGAGGACCUAGGACAUCUGAUUAGAGAGUGCUUAGGAGAUUCAGCAUAGUCCUGCCAGCAAAGAUUAUUUAUUUACUUCAAGAGUAGAAGUUUGGGGAUAGCACCAGGAGAUAUCAGCUGUGAUGGCUUGGAGAAACAGUGUAAACCAGCAGUGUAAACAAGAGUAGGGCAUGUAUGAGUAGUUGAGAACGGUGAAUAGGAGUAUGACUAGACAGAAGAUAGUAGGGAUGACAAGUUUUUUGGGGCACAGUCUAAGUUGGUCUGGCGUCUGGAAUGAGACUGGGGCCUAAUAAAAAGGAGCAUCUAUGCAGGAGCUUAAAUGGGCUGUACCUGGUAGCAUUCUGAGGACAGGUCUCACUUCUCAGAAGGGAAAGUGGUAAAAGUAUUGUCCAGUCCUUUUUAAGUUGGUGGCUGAGCUUGGUGAGGUGUGUUUUUAAAAGACCUUUAGUCUGUCACUGAAAACUAAGAGCCUGAUAAAAUGCUUGGCUGAUUUGACUAAUAAAGGCUGGUCUGUUAUCAGACUGUAUAGAGGUGGGAAGGCUAAACUGAGGAAUUAUGUCUGACAGAAGGGAAGAAAUGACUGCGGUGGCCUUCUCAGACCCUGUAGGAAAGGCCUCUACCUAUCUAGUGAAAGUGUCUACUUAGACUAAGAGGUAUUUUAGUUUUUGUGACUCAGGGCAUGUUGAGUAAAGCUAAUUUGCCAGUCCUGGGCGGGGGCAAAUCCUCGAGCUUGAUGUGUAGGGAAGGGAGGGGGCCUGAAUAAUCCUUGAGGAGUAGUAGAAUAGCAGAUAGAAUAGCAGAUGGAACACUGAGAAGUUAUUUCCUUGAGGAUAGAUUUCCAUGAUGUAAAGGAAAUGAGAGGUUCUAAGAGGCGGGCUAGUGGUUUGUACUAUAGCAUAGCCUGCCUUUGCUGGUGUGUGGUGAUUAGGCCCGGUGGAACUGCCAUCAAUAAAUCAAGCGUGAUCAGGGUGAGAAACAGGGAAGAAGGAAAUGUGGGGAAAUGGGAUGAACAUCAGGUGGAUCAGAGAGAUACAGUCAUGACGGUCAGGUGUGGUAUCUGGAAUAAUGUGGGAGGCGGGAUUGAAGUCCGGGCCAGGAACAAUGGUAAUUGUGGGACUUAACGAAGAGAGUACAGCUGAAGGAGCCAGGGAGCAGAAAGUAUACGUGUCAGGUAUGAGGAAGAAAAUAGAUUUUGGAAGUUAUGAGAAAUGUAGAGAGUGAGUUGAGCAUAGUUUGUGAUUUUGAGGGCCUCUAAAAGUAUUAAAGCAGUGGCAGCCACUGCACGCAGACAUGAGGGCUAGGCUAAAACAGUAAGGUCAAGUUGUUUGGACAGAAAGGCUACACGGUGUGGUCCUGGCUCUUGUGUAAAAAUUCUGACCGCACUAACCAUGCCUAGGAAGGAAAGGAGUUGUUUUGUAGAAGGUGCUGGGGUUUGGGAGAUUAGUCGGACAUGACUGGCAGGGAGAGCACGUGUGUUUUUAUGAGAAUUAUGCCAAGAUAGGUAACAGAUGAGGAAGAAAUUUGGGCUUGAUUGAAGUAAUGGGGGCUGUCUGUGAAGCUUUGCGGCAGUACAGCCUAGGUAAUUUGCUGAGCUUGAUGGGUGUCAGGGUCAGUCCAAGUGAAAGCGAAGAGAGGCUGGGAUGAAGGGUGCAAAGGAAUAGUAAAGAAAGCAUGUUUGAGAUCUAGAACAGAAUAAUGGGUUGUAGAGGCAGGUAUUGAGGAUAGGAGAGUAUAUGGGUUUGGCACCACAGGGUGGAUAGGUAAAACAAUUUGGUUGAUAAGGCGCAGAUCCUGAACUAACUUGUAAGGCUUGUCUGGUUUUAGGACAGGUAAAAUGGGGGAAUGGUUAAGGAGAGUUUAUAGGUCUUAGAAGCCCAUGCUGUAGCAGGCAAGUGAUAACAGGCUUUAAUCCUUUCAAAGCAUGCUGUGGGAUGGGAUAUUGGCAUUGAACGGGGAAAGGGUGAUUAGGUUUUAAUGAGAUGGUAAGGGGUGCAUGAUCGGUAGCCAAGGAGGGAGUAGAGGUAUCUUAUACUUGUGGGUUAAGGUGGGGGAAUACAAGAGGAGGAUGCAAAGAAGGCUUUGGAUUGGGAAGAAGGGCAGCAAUGAGAUGCUGCUAUAGUCCAGGAAUAGUCAGGGAAGAUAAUUUAGUUAAAGUGUCUCAGCCUAAUAAGGGAAUUGGGCAGGUGGGGAUAACUAAAAAAGAGUGCAUAAGAGUAUUGUCUAAGUUGGCACCACAGUUGGGGAGUUUUAGAGGUGUAGAAGCCUGGCUGUCAUUCCCACAACAGUUAUGGAGGCAAGGGAAACAGGCCCUUGAAAAGAAGGUAAUGUUGGAGUGGGUAGCCUCCGUGUUGAUUAAGAAGGGGACGGACUUACCCUUCACUGUGAGAGUUACCUAAAGCUCGGCGUCCGUGAUGGUCUACGGGGCUUCCGAGGCGAUCGGGCAGCAUCAGUCUUCAGCCGCUAAGCUGAGAAGAUCUGGAAAGGAGUCAGUCAGAGAGCCUUGGGCCAGAGUUCCAGGGGCUCUGGGAGUGGCUUCCAGGAUGUUACUUCAGCAUGUCCACUGGAUACCUAGGUAUCCAGUAGGAUACUACGUAUCUGGAUAGAUCAAGGAUACUGAGAUGCUACGUAUCUCAGCAGAUCUGGUGGAGAAUUCCUUAAUUUACUGGAAAAGAAAGACUAAGCCAACAACUCUUUGUCUUCUUACUCCUCUGUGUGAUGAAAUGGAAGGCACUCACACUGGUCACAGUGGUCAUCUCAAGGAAAAGUACUUGUGCAUCUGAGUUGCAAGCUAAACUAGCAGCUCUUCUCCUGGAAUGCAUUUUUUUUUUUUUUUUUUUUUUUUUUUUUACAGAAAAGAAUGAACAAGUGUCAGAAAAGAAUGUUUAUUCAGACUUGGAUAUUUUAAAGACAUUUUAUCAAAAAUAAACUAAGUGAGCCUGCCACUUCAAAGAACACAACCGACAAAUUGUCGUCAAUAAUACUUGUCACGUUUCUAAGCAAAAAUCAGUUAGGAAGCUUCUGUCUACCAGCAUAAGCUUGACUUUUACCUAAUGUAUACUAUAAAACAUCCAGCCUCACACGGAUAUGUAGUGAGAAAAGGUGGAAGUAUUUUAAUAGCCUUUUAAGAUAAUUAGAUAGUUUAGAUAACUAAUAAUUUAGGAGAUAAUAAUUAUUCUCCUUUGAUACUGCACUAAAAACUGGCAUGUAGUAGUUUUUUAAAUAGUUGUUGGAAUGUGGAAUUUGAAGCCACAUAAGUGAUUUUUUUUUUUCUUUUUUGAGAUGGAGUCUCACUCUAUCUCCCAGGCUGAGUCUCACUCUAUCUCCCAGGCUGGAGUGCAGUGGCGCGAUCUUGGCUCAUUGCAACCUCUGCCUCCCAGGUUCAAGCCAUUCUCCUGCCUCAGCCUUCUGAGUAGCUGGGAUUACAGGCGUGUGCCACCACACCCAGCUAAUUUUUGUAUUUUUGGUAGAGAUGGGGUUUCACUAUGUUGGACAAACUGGUCUUGAACUCGUAACACCGCCCAGCGGUUGAUCUGCCUGCCUCGGCCUCCCAAAGUACUGGAAUUACAGGCGUGUGCCAUUGUGCCUGUCCAUAAGUGAUUUUUUUUCAUAUUUUAUUACAUUACUUCAUAUACUUCAACCAAACAACAUAUCACAACAUAUUGAAGGCAAAAGCAGAUACAAAAUUCGGUCAUUUUAUAUUAAAGCUGACUUUAAUUUAUAAAUUUAUAAAAGUAUAAAACAAUAUAUAUCUUCUCACUCAUUUUUAUUUUAAAAAUAGUUACUUUAUUAAAAUACGUUAUUUAUGUUAAUAUGUAAUAGGCUUAUAUUGUCAUAUUUGCAUGCAUUCAUAUAUAUUUUUAACUGUCUCAGUUUUAAUUGCUCAUACAGAACAUAAUUAGUAGAUAUAACCCAUACAAACAGAAGCUCUUUGGGGUCCUCAGUAGUUUUAAAGAGAGUAAAAGCAUUCUGUGAUCAAAAAGUUCAAAAACCAUUGCACUCUAACAAUCUUUGAGCUUGCAAAAAUUACCUCAAAAAGCCAUUUUCAGUAUGGAAUGAAUGGGUGUGAUGGCCCAGUUUCCAAUACCUACCGUCAUUUAGCCCCCAUUCCUUUUGAGCUAGUCCAGAGAGGUGUGGCUGGUAGGCAGAGAGUUGAGGCCUACAGAGCUCUGGUCAUUUAUCUAAAAUAUAGUUCUAACUCUAAAAUGGACAAAGGCUAAUAGCUGCACAUUUGUCCUAUAAGACAGAGCCCCAGUAUUAGGUGGUUGUGUGUAUCUCUUUUCCAUAGCAUCAACCCUGUAUCUCAGUGUAGGUAGCAUGUCAUCUUCUAGAAAGGUAACUUGAUACAGACCCAGGCUUGAAGAUAAGAGCGCCGGGUUCUCUUCUCAGACUCACCAUUAACCAGUCUUAUGACCUGAGCAGUCUCUCUCUCUGGACUUCAGUGUCCUUAUUCACAAAAGGCAGAUGUUUGGUAACAGGACCAUACGCUCUCUAAGAUAUUUUUCAACUUGGAAAUUCUAUGAAUCAAUUUGGAGAAAUAUUUGAAAGACAAUAAGAAUAACAGUUGACUUUUAUAUGGUAUUUUAUACUUGCUAAAUUACUUUUCCUUCCAAAUUCUUGGCUGGUGUUAAUUUCACGGCAAUUGAGAUUAAGGAUUCCAGAGGCGAUAGACUGGUAUUGAGUUCUGAUGUGUCACUAACCAGCUGUGUGGCCUUGAGUAGGUUAUUUAACCCAUCUACAGCUCAGAGAGUUGAUAAGGUGAUUAAAUGAGGUAAGGCAUGCACAGUAUUUAGAAUAGAUUCCGGCCUAUGUUACACACACAGUAACUAUUAUUAACACCUGAUUCAAUGUAUUGUAAUUGUAUGUUCACAUGUCUCUCUCCCCUCCUAGACUAUGAACUCCUUAUAGAUGAAGACCUCAUCCUGCUCAUCACUGCAUUCCUAGCAUAGUGCCUAGGUCAUAAUCAGUACUCAGUAAAUGCUCACUAAAUGGAAGAGUGGAUGACUUAUGUGAUAGUUUAAAUCAUUGUCCAGUAUAUAUUCAGUUCUCGAUACCUCCUUCUUUGGGCAGAGUUUAAUUUUCCAUGUUAUUUGGGUUGAUCCAUGAGAUUUCAGAGGGCUUAAAUGCACAUGUAUAGUUUGGCUUGAGUCUUGUGCUCUGAUGAUGAUAAUGGUGAUGAGGAUAAUCCAUGAGAAUUGUCAUCCAGAUAGCCAGUGCUUCUUUAGCAUGGGCCCCAGAAUGACAGAGACAGUGUAGCAGACAAUCAUGCUCUGAAGAACAGCCUUCUAGCCAGUACCACCCCUAAUCACAGACAGCUCUCCCAGGCAGUGCUGUAUUUCUUUCAUGGCAUCAUGUGAGAUUAAGCUGCCAGAAUUUUGCUGAUUUGGGGUGAACAGAAUUGUUUAUAUAUAGACAGGUCUCCACACGAAAUAUUCCUGUGUUGUCCAUACACUCCAAAAGCAGCCCUGCCAUGAGCCAAGGCCAUCCUAGACCACCUGAUAUUGACCUGAAGACUCAUGAAUACAAGAAUACAUGUCUGUUGCUAAAUGACUGAGAUUUGGGGAUGGUUUUAAAAAUGACAGUAAUGUGGCAAUCAUAGAUAGAUUGAUACAACUGUACAAUCUAUGAGGUAAUUGUUAUUGUUCUUCCCAUUUUAAAUGUGAGAAGAUUAACAAAGGGGAUAUCAUCUAGAAAGCACUUGUUCGCUAAUAAUAGAAAACAGCUCAAAUUGUUAUACAGGAUAAUAGAACCCAAAAAGGCAGAGGUAGUGCAAAGAGAGCUCCUGAUGAAGCUGAGCCAGUGGGUCCCCAGGGUCACCAGGAUCCCAUUUCUAUGUAUCUAUUCAUAUUGCCUUUUGCCAUGACAGUUUCUUCUUCGAGCUGCUAUGGGCUCAUCUGUGCAUAUUUGCACAGGCAGAGUUCCUAGAGCCUGUACCAUCUCUACAAGGUCCUCAAGACUCACUCUGAGCAGACCCUCUAGGGUCAACACCAGUCCUUAUCCAUUCCCAAUUCUACCCUGUGUAUGUGUGUUUUUAAUCAUCACUCACUUAUUUAACAAAUAUUUAUUGAGUGCCUUCUCUGUCAGGUACUUUUCUAUGUAGUGGGAAUACACUAUUGAAUGAGGCAGGAAUAGUCACUGUGCACGCGGGAGUUACAUACUCUAUAUUGUAUAUAAUAAUACAGACAAAUAGGCUAGGGAGAGAGGGAGCUAGAUAAUUAUAUAUACAGAAACCUAAUGAUGGCUAUCAUUUACCAAGACCAAAAGCAGGCAUUAUGCCAGAGGUUUUUAAUUCAAUCUUCAAAAUAAUGUUACAAGAUAAGACUUAUUGUUCACAUUUUUAUCAUUAACAAAAUGGUACACAGCAAAAAUGAGUAAUUUACUAGGCUCAAACAACAAGGCUAAAUUUAUAAUUUUUUGUUACUCAUCUGCCAUGCACAUUGCCUGUCAUACAUGAAAAAUCCUGUUCCUCUUUGGAUUAACUAUAAUUCCCAUACCAAAUGAUGUUAGAAUAAACUAUCCUUUAUUAAUUUUAUUAAUUUAGCUAAAUCCCUUAGAAUGCUUUGGCUAAAUACAAAGUGCUUAGAACCUCAUUUAUUAAUCAAUUUUUCAAAAAUAAAACAUUUUCUGUAUCUGUAGAUACUACAUGUAUAUCAUUGGUG